rnacentral:rRNA from 1 species
CCUACGGGGGGCUGCAGUCGAGGAUCAUUCGCAAUGCGCGAAAGCGUGACGGUGCGACGCCGCGUGCAGGAUGAAGGCCUUCGGGUCGUAAACUGCUGUCAUGAGGGAACAAUGUCCGGAAUGUUAACACCAUUUCGGGGUGAUAGUACCUCAAGAGGAAGCCACGGCUAACUCUGUGCCAGCAGCCGCGGUAAUACAGAGGCGGCGAGCGUUGUUCGGAUUUACUGGGCGUAAAGGGUGCGUAGGCGGUUUCGUGUGUCGGAUGUGAAAGCUCACAGCUCAACUGUGGAAUUGCAUUCGAAACUACGAGGCUGGAGUACAGGAGGGGAGAGCGGAAUUCUCGGUGUAGCGGUGAAAUGCGUAGAUAUCGAGAGGAACACCGGUGGCGAAGGCGGCUCUCUGGACUGAUACUGACGCUGAGGCACGAAAGCUGGGGGAGCAAACAGGCUUAGAUACCCCGGUAGUC